rnacentral:rRNA from 1 species
CCUGAGAACCCGAAGAUCGAAUGGGGAGAUUCAUCGUUAACGGAGUUGGCUUCCAUGCGGUGCGCGAUGAUUCGCGGUCCUCCGUGGAUUACGCUGCUGCUGUGGUAUGUGUCCGGCUUCGUCGGCGUGCACUUCUCCCCUAGUAGAACGUCGCGACCCGUUGGGUGUCGAUUUAAGGUCCAAGAUGGCAGACUGUCUGCGUCGUCUUUGACGCACGAUGUCAGACUCUUGGUCACCUGAUCGACUGCUCGGCGGUAGUCAAUAUGGUAUUGAGCCGCACUCGAAUGCGUUCAGACUUGUCGCAAGCUUGAUCACUUUUAUUNAUCCUGGAGGUGCGGACCCAGUGCCGUCCCCGGGGGUGUUCGGUUGUUGGCGUUCAAUGUUCUCGAACCGGCUUAUCAACGCGCUUGCAUUGAUCAGCGAUACCUGUCAGCGACGCUAUUGCUUUGGGUACUUUCAGGACCCGUCUUGAAACACGGACCAAGGAGUCUAACGCGUACGCGAGUCAUUGUUAUUAUUGUGAAACCCAAAGGCGCAUUGAAAGAAAAGAUCGACCUCGCGUCGAUUCAGGGAGGAUGGGUGAUUGUAAUUUUUUUACGUUGCCCCGCACUCCCGGGGCGUUUCUUAAAGUCAUUGCGACUUGAGGCGCACCCAGAGCGUACACGUUGGGACCCGAAAGAUGGUGAACUAUGCCUGGUCAGGAUGAAGUCAGGGGAAACCCUGAUGGAGGUCCGUAGCGGGUCUGACGUGCUUAUCGAUCGUCGGAACUGGGUAUAG